rnacentral:rRNA from 1 species
AACGAACGCUGGCGGCAUGCCUAACACAUGCAAGUCGAACGAGACCUUCUGGUCUAGUUGCGCACGGGUGCGUAACGCGUGGGAACCUGCCCUUAGGUUCGGAAUAACUCCCCGAAAGGGGUGCUAAUACCGGAUAAUGUCUUCGGACCAAAGAUUUAUCGCCUUUGGAUGGGGCCGCGUUGGAUUAGCUAGUUGGUAGGGUAAAAGCCUACCAAGGCGACGAUCCAUAGCUGGUCUGAGAGGAUGAUCAGCCACACUGGGACUGAGACACGGCCCAGACUCCUACGGGAGGCAGCAGUGGGGAAUAUUGGACAAUGGGCGAAAGCCUGAGCCAGCAAUGCCGCGUGAGUGAUGAAGGCCUUAGGGUUGUAAAGCUCUUUUACCCGGGAUGAUAAUGACAGUACCGGGAGAAUAAGCUCCGGCUAACUCCGUG